AAUGUUGAAGUGUGUGCAGAUAGAAAUGUAUUGUGUAAAACAGAUAGGUUUGCAUGUCAUGCUAAAAUAGGAAAACAAGUCAACUCUAUUCAUUAUAUUAAAUGAUAAGGUCCUUUAGUCUCUAAUUGAAACCGAGGAGAGUCAAGGUGCCAAUACAAGGAGAAAGCAGCACUCUCCCAGUUAAAACCAGAAGGCUCUAGCAAGCUGUCUGUUGCCACACCAUAGCUACUGGGGAGUUCUACAACUGAGCUGAUGGCUCUUGGACACUAAGCCCUGAUCCUGUGUGAGCAGGCUAGAGCCAAUAGCCCCAAUAUUCCUGGAGCCUAUGUACCCCAGUGUAACAAGGAGGGCCUGUACACCCCAAAGCAGUGCAACGGCUCUACAGGAUACUGCUGGUGUGUUAACACCGAGGGAUAGAUGUCGUCUCUCCACUACUCCAGGCUCUCCCAUUCCAUGUGUAGUGAGACUGUCCCAAGCAGCCAGAAGCUCUCAGAAGACUUCAAGACCCAGUGUUAAUGAGGUAGCAGGACCUGUUAACCAAUACCCCUGUGGGUUGCCCUUAUGGGUUCCAAAGGCCUCUCAGAAUGUUGGACCUCCUAUGGGUGGCAGCCCAGACACAUCCACCCAUCUCCAGAAUCCACUGGUGGCCAGCAAGGUAAAGGAAACAUCUCCCUCUGCUGCUGAGCAGCAAGAACCGGCCCCAUGGAUCAAGCAGUGUGUUGGGCCCCACCAGCUGCCACGAUCCUGUUCUACCUCCACCCAGCAUUAUUUUUCAGAACCAUAACGACUAUGAACGAGGCAGUGGUUUUCUCCAACACCCUCUACUCCCCAGGAGACACAGCCCAGCCCUCUGUUAGUGUUGUAUCCCAUGAUAUCAGUAAACCUGUGCCUAACCAGCCUCUCCUUAGACCAAGUGCUGGAUCCAAAGGAGUGGAGUAUCCUAUCCUCAGACAUUGGCAAUUGAUGCAUGAAUGAUGGGCUUUAAGGUUCUACAUGACGUUCAUCCCCCCUUGGUGAUGCGCGAAUGUCCAAUAAACUUUUGUCAUGGAAUUA